rnacentral:rRNA from 1 species
AGUGAACGCUGGCGGCAGGCCUAAUACAUGCAAGUCGAACGGCAGCACAGCAGAGCUUGCUCUGUGGGUGGCGAGUGGCGGACGGGUGAGGAAUACAUGGGAAUCUGCCCAGUCGUGGGGGAUAACGUAGGGAAACUUACGCUAAUACCGCAUGCGCCCUUCGGGGGAAAGCCGGGGGGAACCCUUUCGGGCCUGGCGCGAUUGGAUGAGCCCAUGUCGGAUUAGCUAGUUGGCGGGGUAAUGGCCCACCAAGGCGACGAUCCGUAGCUGGUCUGAGAGGAUGAUCAGCCACACUGGAACUGAGACACGGUCCAGACUCCUACGGGAGGCAGCAGUAGGGAAUAUUGGACAAUGGGCGCAAGCCUGAUCCAGCCAUGCCGCGUGAGUGAAGAAGGCCCUCGGGUUGUAAAGCUCUUUUGUCCGGAAAGAAAAGCGCCGGGUUAAUACCCUGGUGUCCUGACGGUACCGGAAGAAUAAGCACCGGCUAACUUCGUGCCAGCAGCCGCGGUAA